GACGAACGCUGGCGGCGUGCUUAACACAUGCAAGUCGAACGGAAAGGCCCUGCUUUUGUGGGGUGCUCGAGUGGCGAACGGGUGAGUAACACGUGAGUAACCUGCCCUUGACUUUGGGAUAACUUCAGGAAACUGGGGCUAAUACCGGAUAGGAGCUCCGGCUGCAUGGUGGGGGUUGGAAAGUUUCGGCGGUUGGGGAUGGACUCGCGGCUUAUCAGCUUGUUGGUGGGGUAGUGGCUUACCAAGGCUUUGACGGGUAGCCGGCCUGGGAGGGUGACCGGCCACAUUGGGACUGAGAUACGGCCCAGACUCCUACGGGAGGCAGCAGUGGGGAAUAUUGCACAAUGGGCGGAAGCCUGAUGCAGCACCGCCGCGUGCGGGAUGACGGCCUUCGGGUUGUAAACCGCUUUCGCCUGUGACGAAGCGUGAGUGACGGUAAUGGGUAAAGAAGCACCGGCUAACUACGUG
rnacentral:rRNA from 1 species